rnacentral:tmRNA from 1 species
GGGGGUGAUUUGCUUCGACAGAAAUUUGAAAAUAAUAAAGCAAGCCGAGGUCUCAAUCCUCGUAAAACCUUGGGGAAUCUUUAAUAAGUGUAGACUUUUCUAAAGAACCCGCAUUAGCUUACGCUUAAUGCUGUCCUUGACUUCGAUUCUCGCUAAAUAUCAAGGGCACAAUAUAUGCGAGACAAGCACCUACUUUUUGGCUCAGAAGGUUGGUGACUGAAAUUUAUGAGCCCGCAUUAUUGUUAUUCUUUCUGCCUUAAAAACAGUAAUUGCGUAAAAUUAAGACAGAAUAAGCUUGUAGAAUUAUUAUUGGAUAACUUUUGGACGCGAGCUCACUACUCGCCACCUCCACAA